AUUGAACGCUGGCGGCAUGCCUUACACAUGCAAAUCGAACGGUAACGGGCCUUCGGGUGCCGACGAGUGGCGAACGGGUGAGUAAUACAUCGGAACGUGCCCGAUCGUGGGGGAUAACGAGGCGAAAGCUUUGCUAAUACCGCAUACGAUCUACGGAUGAAAGCAGGGGACCGCAAGGCCUUGCGCGGACGGAGCGGCCGAUGGCAGAUUAGGUAGGUGGUGGGAUAAAAGCUUACCAAGCCGACGAUCUGUAGCUGGUCUGAGUGGAUGAUCAGCCACCCUGGGUCUGAGACACGGCCCAGACUCCUACGGGAGGCAGCAGUGGGGAAUUUUGGACGAUGGGCCCAAGCCUGAUCCAGCCAUGCCGCGUGCAGGAUGAAGGCCUUCGGGUUGUAAACUGAUUUUGUACGGAACGAAAAGCCUUCUUUUAAUACAGGAGGGUCAUGACGGUACCGUAAGAAUAAGCACCGGCUAACUACGUG
rnacentral:rRNA from 1 species